GACGUAGGUGGCGAACGUUAUCCGGAAUUAUUGGGCGUAAAGGGCGCGUAGGCGGCUGGUGAAGGCUUGUGUGAAAGUCCGGGGCUCAACCCCGGAUCGGCACGGGCGACUCGCUGGCUGGAGCCCACUAGAGGCGGUGGAAUUCCGGGUGUAGCGGUGGAAUGCGUAGAGAUCCGGAAGAACACCGGUGGCGAAGGCGGCCCGCUGGGGUGGAGCUGACGCUGAGGAGCGAAAGCGUGGGGAGCGAACAGGAUUGAG
rnacentral:rRNA from 1 species